ACCGUAAGCUAGAUCAAGUCCUUACCACAUUCUGACAUUGUUGCGCGUUCACAUCUGUGGCUUGAGUGGAUAUUAUUGAUUACGUGAUGUAAUUUUGCAGGACAGCUUCGAGGAGCUGCAGCAGCUGUUCGUGGACAUGUUCCAGGCCGACCUCGUCGCCGGCGGGUUCGGCGGUGCGCCACCUAUGGGCCGCCGGGUCAAGACCCCGGCCCCGAUUGCAUCCUGUACCUCUGGACCUACGUUUGCGCAAGCACGGCCGUCAAGUAACAACGGUGUCAACAAGCGGUGUUCACCGGCGAUGGGCUCCGGGAUGCCCUCAUGGACGGUGCAGGAGGACGUGAGCAUCGGCGGCAGGAAUAAGAAACAGAGGCUGUCGACGGGCCACGGCGUGUCGUCCUAGGAGGAAGCGAGGGAUGCGCGGCGCGCGUGGCAGCGUAGAUGCGCGCGUGCUCUGUGGAUCUGGCCGACGGUCAGCAACUUUUGGAGGAUGUGAUGCGCAAGCUUUACAAUUAGUUUAUUUUUUUAUUUACUUGUGUUGUUCGUCCAUCUCAAACGGCCUUUAUGCAAGGACGAAAUAUACAAGAUGGUGUAGUAAUCCUGCAUGAGACCGUCCACAAGAUACACAAAAAAACAUGAGUGGAUUGAUAUUUAAAAUUGACUUUGAAAAGGUAUAUGACAAGGUCAAGUGGUCUUUCCUUCAACAGGCCCUAAGGAUGAAAGGUUUCUCUGAUAAAUGGCGUCAGUGGAUCCAUAAUUUUGUAACUGAAGGUAGUGUAGUCAUCAAAGUCAAUAAUAAUGUAGGCCGUUAUUUUCAGAAGGACUACGGUAGGGUGACUUCAUGUCUCCAAUGUUAUUUAACAUUGUCACUGACAUGUUGACGAUUCUUUCUCUAAUGUUAUUUAACAUUGUCAGUGACAUGUUGACGAUUCUGAUUGAGAUGUUAUUUAACAUUGUCGCUGAUAUUGUCGGUGUUAUGGGAACGGGGGUCUCCAGACUUGCCUGUGGCGUGGCUCAAAGGGGGCCCAACACGGCCCAUCUUCAUCAACACAAGCUCAAGACCCUCGUAAGGGACCAAGCCUCGCGGGACGGACGACAAGGAGCUUUCUCAGGCACGACCUCAUCAGGCUGGCUCACGAGGAGGCGGAGAGUUUAAGGCGGGGUGCCUCGCGAGGUGCCUAUGACGCAAGCCAUGACGACCAAGGGCGCCAGCCCGCGCAGUGUCCUUCUUUCCUCUUUGAUGCAAGGAGAGCAAGCGUAGGCGAGAGUAUCAAGCAAAGGCAUCCAUUUCGGUGCAACAAGAUCAAGACCAGUCCAACGACAGGAUGAAGGUCAUCGUGGAGCCCAAGCCGGCGUCAUCAUCAGAGCCUUUGACAGGCGAGGACCAACUUUAGUCAGAAUAAGUGUACCAAAUGUUUCGCUUCAAAAUGGGCAAUUGUUGGCGCCCUUCCCGUUGAAUAUUUGGGAAGAGACCCAGGGCCUUUGCCUAUAAAUAGGACUAGCCACCAUAGUAUCUGGGCAGAGAAAGAGAGAAUCAACCCCUUCAAAGGGACAACACCACCGCAAGAACAUACCCUCACGAGGCUGUCCUUCCUUUAUUGUUCAUCAUCAGCCCAAGAGGCAAUCCACCACACCACACACUGGAGUAGGGUAUUACACCACAAUGGUGGUCUGAACCCCGGUAUAAACCCUGUGUCUCUUGUGCUGUUUUUCUGGUAGUUUAGAUCCCAACGAUUCGGUGAGGAACAGGUAGGUAGAAGGCGAAACCUCCGCGCGCACCCCAGUGUUCGAACCUCAAGGGUCUGCCGGAACCCUAAAUCCGACAUUUGGCGCGCCAGGUAGGGGUGCUCCGGAAUUCGUCUUCCGUCGCCCUGUUCUUCUUUGACCGCCGCGUCCAUGUCUGACGCACGCCGGGUUCGUGCCGAGCGCCGAGCCGCCCUCGCUUCCCGCGUUGCCCAGACGACUCCCGUCGGCGGGCGCCCUCGUCGUUCCCCGUCGCCUGCCGUCAAUGCCGCCACCGACCCGGCGGGGAACGAGCAGCAAGCAUCGUCCCAGCACCCGUCCAUGAGGCGAGACGGCCGCGCCGCUACACCCUCGCUCACCCCUGCUGGUUCUUCGUCCCGUGCGCCCCGCGCGGCCAUGAAGGCUCGAGCUGCGCUCAUCGUGGCGAACGAGCUCCUGCGCUACCGUCCAAUCGACGACGUCUACGAAGAAUGACUCGACCGAGUCGCCGAACUCGUCCGCGUCGCUGGGGGCUCCCCUGUGCCAUCUUUCUUGCUGGACCGCGCCCCGCCAUGCGUGGGAAAUGAAGCUCCUGGGGCGCCUCAGCCGCCUCCCCCUCAAGAAGGCGCCCUGGCUCCAAGGCGCGCGGCCCCUGGGCGGAACCCGCCCCGUCAGGAACCAGCGCGGCAAGAGCAGAGAUGCCAAGAAGUCCCUCACCCUCGAGAAGCUGCCCGAGCGCUCCCUGCUCUGGCUCGUCCCGACCACGCUCCUGCUCCAGCACGUCAAGACCCCGCGCUGCACCCAGCUGCGGCGCACGGGGACCCGCAGGACCAAGCCCUUCGUCCUCCAAGGCCUCCCGUGGCCACAGCGGGCUGCCGCGCCUUCACCACCGAGCUGCGCACCGUCGCGUGGCCUGGCAAGUUCAAGCCAGACCUGCCUCCUCGCUACGAUGGCACGGCUGACCCUGCAGAGUUCCUCCAGCUCUACGAGCUGGGCAUCGAGGCUGCCAACAGAGACGAGAAGGUCAUGGCGAACUGGUUUCCCAUGGCUCUCAAGGACGGGGCCCGCACCUAGCUCCUGAACCUGGCCCCAGGCACGAUCUCUUCCUGGGACAAGAUGCGCACCAGCUUCAUCGCCAACUUCCAGGAUACUCGCGACCGGCCACCCGCCGUGAGCGACAUGCGCCGCAACAAGCAGCAACCAGGGAAAACCCUGCAGAAGUACAUCCAGCGCUUCAACAAUGCGCGCCUCAAGAUUUCCAAGGUGACCGAGGAGGCCAUCAUCUCAGCCUUCUCUGACGACGUGCGUGACGUCAAAAUGAAGGAGGAGCUCACAAUGCAUGAAGAUCUGUGCACUUCCUUGGAGCUGUUCAACCCGGCGACCAAGUGCGCCAGGGCCGAGGAAGGGCGUCUCUCCCUCCUCGAGUUGCCUGCCGCAGACCCAGAAGAGAAGAAGCCCAAGACCAAGGACGUGAAGCGCAAAGGGGCUGCCGUGCUCGCGGCAGAACCAGACACCAAGCGGGGCAGAGAUCAGCCCGAAUCCUCCAAGGGCAGUCGGUACUGCGUGUACCAUGACCUCCACACCCAUUACACCAAUGAAUGCCAAGAGCUCAGGGCUGUGCGUGAAGGACGGACUGGCCGGUGUCCCGACCGCAGCGAUCGGGGCUACGGCCGAGGAGGAGGAAGGAACGCAGGACGCUGGGAAGACCGCGGCCCACGUCAAGGGUGGUGCGACCAACCUCGCGAGGAUCACUGGCAGGACACGCCUCGCGAGGGAGGCUGGAAGGAUCAGCCUCGUGAGGAUCGCCCGCAAGGUAACGCAGGCCUCCCUCCGCUACCGCCGCAACCAAGGAGAAAUGAGGACCGUUAUUAGGACGAAGGGGCUGGGGGCUUCCAGGAACCACGUGCGAUCACCUGCAUCCUGGGCGGAGCUCAAGCCCCAGCCUCUCAGCGCAUCUUCAAGCAGUUCGCCCGUGAAGUGAAUGCAGCCUCCCCAAGCUCGAGGCCACGCGCCCUCUCAGGUGGUCGGCGUGUGCCAUCACGUUCAUCUCAGCGGAUCAGCUCAAGUGCGCGGCCACAGCCGGAGUCCUCCCGAUGCUUUGUUCCCCAAUUAUCAGCAACGUGCUAGUCACCAGGACCCUCAUCGAUGGCGGGGCAGGGCUCAACGUCCUGUCCGUGGAAACAUUCAACAAUCUCCAAGUGCCCUACAAUCAGCUUCAACCAACCAAGCCUUUCUCCGGAGUCACCGACGGCUCCACGGUCCCGAUUGGGCAGGUCCGCCUCCCUAUCACCUUCGGGGCACGCGACAACUACCGCACCGAGCUCAUCAACUUCGACGUCGCCCACAUUCGCCUGUCGUACAACGCCAUCCUCGGGUACCCGGUGCUGGCCAAGUUCAUGGCCGUAACCCACCAUGGCUACAACGUCCUCAAGAUGCCAGGAAGUGGCGGAGUCAUCACGGUGCCCUGCGAAGAGAAAGACGUAGUGUGCUCCCUGGAGCGAGCCUUUCCGGCCGCGUCACUGGAAUACCCGGAUCGCGGAAGCAGGAGGCUUCCCGAGGCUGCCCCCAAGAAGAAGAGGACAUCGACCGGCCCGGUCCCUCAGGAGGCAGGUCCCUCAGGGCCCGCGCCUGCUCAGGGGGAACCUCCUUCCAUCGCAUAGGGAAGCGCGCCCGGCGCCCUCCUCAGGCAGGGCUCGGGGGCUCUCCCCUGGAGGGCCGUCGACCUCGCCAAGGUCACGAGGGAGGCGCUUGGGCACCACGUGGAGGCGUGUUUUAAAGCACGUUUCCAUCAAGAAGGAGCAAGGCAAGGAGGGCUAAACCCUCAGGAGUUCGUCAGCAAGGCCAUUCAGGAGCUACAGGAGUCAAGGGUCAUGAGAGGCAGCCGCCGCUUACCCGUUGUGGCCCCCCAUCCAGGCGAGGAUGGUGGGUUGCGCGUCUGCAUCGACAUACCAGGGCUCAACCAAGCCGCGUCUCAGGAGCGCCUCUGGCCUUCGCGAGUGGGACGCUGCGAGGGUCCGCCUCACAGCUACGUUCGCAUGCCUUAUGGCUCGCCGAACGCGGCUACUGCGUACCAGCGCCUCAUGAGGGCCAUCCUGGAGGCUCAAGAGGUCAGGCGUUCCGCAGCCCUGGUGGAGAUGGAGACGCUCCGCGAGGAGCCACCAACGCCUCCGGAGCCUCCCGAGACCCCAGGGCCUGGGGGCUCGUGAGGAUCUGCUCCCGCAGCCCACCGAGUCUGCUGCAUCAACAUCCCUUCGUCUUCAGCAUCAUCAGGUGACAUCUUUCAAGUUUUAUUUCCAGCUGGAGCGCCCUCAGGGCUGCAUUAUUCCCAGGCCGCGUGGGUCCGUCCCUGUGGCGUGUAUCUCUUUUAUUUCAUGUUCUUAGCUUACUCAGCUGGGGGCGCCCCUUGGGCUGCAUUAUCUCCAAGCCGCUCGGGUCAGACCCAGUGGCAUGUACCCCUCUUGCAUUUAUCUUAGGGCCAUGUUUUUGACCCAUCGUGCUUGUUAUUUGGUGCCUGUUCAUGGUACCUUUUCUUCAUGGAUGUCGCAAGCUUGCGCGUUAAAGGGGGGUGCCUGAGCAUCGCGACUCAGGGCUCCUACCGGCUCUCCAGCCCUCACCUCUGGUCUUGCCCACGGCAUCGCGCCCCGGCAUACCAGCGACGGCUAAGACCAGCCCGAGAGCUGGGACCCGAGGACGUAGAGUUUCGACAUCUAACCCAGCUUGCGCGUUAAAGGGGGGUUCCUGAGCAUCGCGACUCAGGGCUCCUACCGGCUCUCCGGCCCUCACCCUCUGGUCUUGCCCACGGCAUCGCGCCCUGGCAUACCAGCGAUGGCUGAGACCAGCCCGAGAGCCGGGACCCGAGAACAUAGAGCACCGGCAUCUAGCCAAAUUUGCAGGAACACACUUCAAGAUAAGGCCCAGUGUCGGGCGCAACCCGCCUUGCGGUAGGGCCCCGUGAGUCUUGAUCUGGAUCGCGGGUGAACCAGUACACGUCGCCAGGCCUUUCGUGCCUCGCCGCCUCUCCAAAGCAACUAACAGCUAACCGUCGAUUGUCGCGACGAACUCUCAUUUCUUCUGUGAUGAGCCUACAGGGUCCCCCCAGGAGCAUCGUCAUGUGAGGCUCUCAUGAUGUCUUCUUCACCCUCGUCCACGCACACCGCUUGCACGUUAAAGGGGGGGUACCUGAGCAUCGCGACUCAGGGCUCCUACUGGUUCUCCAGCCCUCACCCUCUGGCCUUGUCCAUGGCAUCGCGGCCUGGCAUACCAGCGAUGGCUGAGACUCGCUCGAGGGCCGGGACCCGAGGACAUAGAGCAGAAAGGGGAGCGAGGGCGAGAGAGAGAAGCACGUGAUGACCUCGCCAAGCAACCCCUCGCCGGCCAAGGCACGGACCUAGCGCUGCACCAGGAAGCGUUCCUGACCCUCGAGAUAAGUCACUCUCCGGGAACACUAGCUAUCACAACACCGUCCCUGCACUUAAUGCAAUCCCGUCUUAGCAACGUCGCUCUCCUUUCUCACCGAAUGAUGGCUGCUUGAGCGCCAAGGGGGACCUCCUGAGCAUCGCGACUCAGGGGCUCUUACCGGGCCUCGGGUCGCUCACCUCCUGGACUUGACCACGGCAUCGCGACCUGGCAUACCAGUGACGACUGAAGCCGCCUUGGGACUGGGGCCUGUCGGCGCAGAGCAUCAGGCUCUCACGAGGUCUGACAGGAAGAAACUAAGCUAAGACGGAAUAACCAUCUCGCACUGCUUCAUAAUGAGGAUCAUAUUGAUAAAAGGAGCUACAGACACCUUACAAGCCCCCAUGGGGUGUGUUCUUGGCUCCUCGCAGGGACAAAAGACGCGUAUCCUAAGGAGUCCAAACUACAGGAACCGCGGCGGCAGACGCCAUCAUCAACAGUGGGCCGCGUGAGGCUCGGCGCCAGCCUCAUCCAGAUCAGAGACGGCGGCGGCCUAACGGGCCCGUCCUGCUCUGAGAUCGGUGUAGGUGUUGGGUUUCGUAGCAAUUUCAAAAAUUUUCCUACGCACACGCAAGAUCAUGUGAUGCAUAGCAACGAGGGGAGAGUAUUGUCUACGUACCCAACACAGACCGACUGCGGAAGCGAUGACACGACAUAGAGGAAGUAGUCGUACGUCUUCUCGAUCCAACCGAUCAAGCACCGAAACUACGGCACCUCCGAGUUCGAGCACACGUUCAGCUCGAUGACGAUCCCCGGACUCCGAUCCAGCAAAGUGUCGGGGAAGAGUUUCGUCAGCACGACGGCGUGGUGACGAUCUUGAUGAACUACAGCAGCAGGGCUUCGCCUAAACUCCGCUACAGUAUUAUCGAGGAAUAUGGUGGCAGGGGGCACCGCACACGGCUAAGGAAUAGAUCACGUGGAUCAACUUGUGUCAACUUGUGUGUUUAGAGGUGCCCCUGCCUCCGUAUAUAAAGGAGGAGAGGAGGGGAGGCUGGCCGGCCAAGGGGGGGAGGCGCAGGAGAGUCCUACUCCCUCUGGGAGUAGGAUUCCCCCUUCAAUCCUAGUCCAACUAGGAUUCCUCGGAGGAGAAAAGAGGAGGAGGGGGCCGGCCACCUCUCCUAGUCCUAAUAGGACUAGGGGAAGGGGGGGCGCGCAGCCCAUCUAGGGCAGCCCCUUCUCUUUUCCACUAAGGCCCACUAUGGCCCAAAUAGCUCCCGGGGGGUUCCGGUAACCCUCUCGGUAUUCCGGUAAAAUCCCGAUUUCACCCGGAACACUUCCGAUAUCCAAAUAUAGGCUUCCAAUAUAUCAAUCUUUACGUCUCGACCAUUUCGAGACUCCUCGUCAUGUCCGUGAUCACAUCCGGGACUCCGAACAACCUUCGGUACAUCAAAAUGCAUAAACUCAUAAUAUAACUGUCAUCGUAACCUUAAGCGUGCGGACCCUACGGGUUCGAGAACAAUGUAGACAUGACCGAGACACGUCUCCGGUCAAUAACCAAUAGCGGGACCUGGAUGCCCAUAUUGGCUCCUACAUAUUCUACGAAGAUCUUUAUCGGUCAGACCGCAUAACAACAUACGUUGUUCCUUUUGUCAUCGGUAUGUUACUUGCCCGAGAUUCAAUCGUCGGUAUCCAAUACCUAGUUCAAUCUCGUUACCGGCAAGUCUCUUUACUCGUUCCGUAAUACAUCAUCUCACAACUAACAUAUUAGUUGUAAUGCUUGCAAGGCUUAUGUGAUGUGUAUUACCGAGAGGGCCCAGAGAUACCUCUCCGACAAUCGGAGUGACAAAUCCUAAUCUCGAAAUACGCCAACCCAACAUCGACCAUUGGAGACACCUGUAGUACUCCUUUAUAAUCACCCAGUUACGUUGUGACGUUUGGUAGUACCCAAAGUGUUCCUCCGGUAAACGGGAGUUGCAUAAUCUCAUAGUCAUAGGAACAUGUAUAAGUCAUGAAGAAAGCAAUAGCAACAUACUAAACGAUCGGGUGCUAAGCUAAUGGAAUGGGUCAUGUUAAUCAGAUCAUUCUACUAAUGAUGUGACCUCGUUAAUCAAAUAACAACUCAUUGUUUAUGGUUAGGAAACAUAACCAUCUUUGAUUAACGAGCUAGUCAAGUAGAGGCAUACUAGUGACACUUUGUUUGUCUAUGUAUUCACACAUGUAUUAUGUUUCCGGUAAAUACAAUUCUAGCAUGAAUAAUAAACAUUUAUCAUGAUUAUAAGGAAAUAAAUAAUAACUUUAUUAUUGCCUCUAGGGCAUAUUUCCUUCAGUCUCCCACUUGCACUAGAGUCAAUAAUCUAGAUUACACUGUAAUGAUUCUAACACCCAUGGAGCUUUGGUGCUGAUCAUGUUUUGCUCGUGGAAGAGGCUUAGUCAACGGGUCUGCAACAUUCAGAUCCGUAUGUAUCUUGCAAAUCUCUAUGUCUCCCACCUGGACUAGAUCCCGGAUGGAGUUGAAGCAUCUCUUGAUGUGUUUGGUCCUUUUGUGAAAUCUGGAUUCCUUUGCCAAGGCAAUUGCACCAGUAUUGUCACAAAAGAUUUUCAUUGGACCCGAUGCACUAGGUAUGACACCUAGAUCGGAUAUGAACUCCUUCAUCCAGACUCCUUCAUUUGCUGCUUCUGAAGCAGCUAUGUAUUCCGCUUCACAUGUAGAUCCCGCUACAACGCUUUGUUUAGAACUGCACCAACUGACAGCUCCACCGUUUAAUGUAAACACAUAUCCGGUUUGCGAUUUAGAAUCGUCCGGAUCAGUGUCAAAGCUUGCAUCAACGUAACCUUUUACGAUGAUCUCUUUGUCACCUCCAAAUACGAGAAACAUAUCCUUAGUCCUUUUCAGGUAUUUCAGGAUGUUCUUGACCGCUGUCCAGUGAUCCACUCCUGGAUUACUUUGGUACCUCCCUGCUAAACUUAUAGCAAGGCACACAUCAGGUCUGGUACACAGCAUUGCAUACAUGAUAGAUCCUAUGGCUGAUGCAUAGGGAACAUCUUUCAUAUUCUCUCUAUCUUCUGUAGUGGUCGGGCAUUGAGUCUUACUCAAUUUCACACCUUGUAACACAGGCAAGAACCCUUUCUUCGCUUGAUCCAUUUUGAACUUCUUCAAAAUUUUGUCAAGGUAUGUGCUUUGUGAAAGUCCAAUUAAGCGUCUUGAUCUAUCUCUAUAGAUCUUAAUGCCUAAUAUGUAAGCAGCUUCACCGAGGUCUUUCAUUGAAAAACUUUUAUUCAAGUAUCCCUUUAUGCUAUCCAGAAAUUCUAUAUCAUUUCCAAUCAGUAAUAUGUCAUCCACAUAUAAUAUCAGAAAUGCUACAGAGCUCCCACUCACUUUCUUGUAAAUACAGGCUUCUCCGAAAGUCUGUAAAAAACCAAAUGCUUUGAUCACACUAUCAAAACGUUUAUUCCAACUCCGAGAGGCUUGCACCAGUCCAUAAAUGGAUCGCUGGAGUUUGCACACUUUGUUAGCUCCCUUUGGAUCGACAAAACCUUCUGGUUGCAUCAUAUACAACUCUUCUUCCAGAAAUCCAUUCAGGAAUGCAGUUUUGACAUCCAUCUGCCAAAUUUCAUAAUCAUAAAAUGCGGCAAUUGCUAACAUGAUUCGGACGGACUUUAAGUAUCGCUACGGGUGAGAAGGUCUCAUCGUAGUCAAUCCCUUGAACUUGCCGAAAACCUUUUGCGACAAGUCGAGCUUUGUAGACAGUAACAUUACCAUCAGCGUCAGUCUUCUUCUUAAAGAUCCAUUUAUUCUCAAUUGCUUGCCGAUCAUCGGGCAAGUCAACCAAAGUCCAUACUUUGUUUUCAUACAUGGAUCCCAUCUCAGAUUUCAUGGCUUCAAGCCACUUUGCGGAAUCUGGGCUCACCAUCGCUUCUUCAUAGUUCGUAGGUUCAUCAUGAUCUAGUAGCAUGACUUCCAGAACAGGAUUACCGUACCACUCUGGCGCGGAUCUUACUCUGGUUGAUCUACGAGGUUCAGUAGUAUCUUGAUCUGAAGUUUCAUGAUCAUUAUCAUUGGCUUCCUCACUAACUGGUGUAGGUGUCACUGAAACGGUUUUCUGUGAUGAACUACUUUCCAGUAAGGGAGCAGGUAUAGUUACCUCGUCAAGUUCUACUUUCCUCCCACUCACUUCUUUCGAGAGAAACUCCUUCUCUAGAAAUGAUCCAUUCUUAGCAACGAAUGUUUUGCCUUCGGAUCUGUGAUAGAAGGUGUACCCAACAGUUUCCUUUGGGUAUCCUAUGAAGACACAUUUCUCCGAUUUGGGUUCGAGCUUAUCAGGUUGAAGCUUUUUCACAUAAGCAUCGCAGCCCCAAACUUUAAGAAACGACAACUUUGGUUUCUUGCCAAACCACAGUUCAUAAGGCGUCGUCUCAACGGAUUUUGAUGGUGCCCUAUUUAACGUGAAUGUGGCCGUCUCUAUAGCAUAACCCCAAAACGAUAGCGGUAAAUCGGUAAGAGACAUCAUAGAUCGCACCAUAUCUAGUAAAGUACGAUUACGACGUUCGGACACACCAUUUUGCUGUGGUGUUCCGGGUGGCGUGAGUUGCGAAACUAUUCCACAGUUUUUCAAAUGUACACCAAACUCGUAACUCAAAUAUUCUCCUCCACGAUCAGAUCGUAGAAACUUUAUUUUCUUGUUACGAUGAUUUUCAACUUCACUCUGAAAUUCUUUGAACUUUUCAAAUGUUUUUCACUUAUGCUUCAUUAAGUAGAUAUACCCAUAUCUGCUUAAAUCAUCUGUGAAGGUGAGAAAAUAACGAUAUCCGCCACGAGCCUCAAUAUUCAUCGGGCCACAUACAUCGGUAUGUAUGAUUUCCAACAAAUCUGUUGCUCUCUCCAUAGUACCGGAGAACGGUGUUUUAGUCAUCUUGCCCAUGAGGCACGGUUCGCAAGUACCAAGUAAUUCAUAAUCAAGUGGUUCCAAAAGUCCAUCGGCAUGGAGUUUCUUCAUGCGCUUUAUACCGAUAUGACCUAAACGACAGUGCCACAAAUAAGUUGCACUUUCAUUAUCAACUCUGCAUCUUUUGGCUUCAACAUUAUGAAUAUGUGUAUUACUACUAUCGAGAUUCAAUAAGAAUAGACCACUCUACAAGGGUGCAUGACCAUAAAAGAUAUUACUCAUAUAAAUAGAACAACCAUUAUUCUCUGAUUUAAAUGAAUAACCGUCUCGCAUUAAACAAGAUCCAGAUAUAAUGUUCAUGCUCAACGCUGGCACCAAAUAACAAUUACUUAGGUCUAAUAUUAAUCCCGAAGGUAGAUGUAGAGGUAGCGUGCCGACCGCGAUCACAUCGACUUUGGAACCGUUUCCCACGCGCAUCGUCACCUCGUCCUUUGCCAGUGCUCGCUUAUUCUGUAGUCCCUGUUUCGAGUUGCAAAUAUUAGCAACAGAACCAGUAUCAAAUACCCAGGUGCUACUGCGAGCUCUAGUAAGGUACACAUCAAUAACAUGUAUAUCACAUAUACCUUUGUUCACCUUGCCAUCCUUCUUAUCCGCCAAAUACUUGGGGCAGUUCCGCUUCCAGUGACCAGUCUGCUUGCAGUAGAAGCACUCAGUUUCAGGCUUAGGUCCAGACUUGGGUUUCUUCUCUUGAGCAGCAACUUGCUUGCCGUUCUUCUUGAAGUUCCCCUUUUUCUUCCCUUUGCCCUUUUUCUUGAAACUAGUGGUCUUGUUAACCAUCAACACUUGAUGCUCCUUCUUGAUUUCUACCUCCGCAGCUUUCAGCAUUGCGAAGAGCUCGGGAAUAGUCUUGUUCAUCCCUUGCAUAUUAUAGUUCAUCACGAAGCUCUUGUAGCUUGGUGGCAGUGAUUGGAGAAUUCUGUCAAUGAUGCAAUCAUCCGGAAGAUUAACUCCCAAUUGAAUCAAGUGAUUAUUAUACCCAGACAUUUUGAGUAUAUGCUCACUAACAGAACUGUUCUCCUCCAUCUUGCAGCUAUAGAACUUAUUGGAGACUUCAUAUCUCUCAAUUCGGGCAUUUGCUUGAAAUAUUAACUUCAACUCCUGGAACAUCUCAUAUGCUCCAUGACGUUCUAAACGUCGUUGAAGUCCCGAUUCUAAGCCGUAAAGCAUGGCACACUGAACUAUCGAGUAGUCAUCAGCUUUGCUCUGCCAGACGUUCAUAACAUCUGGCGUUGCUCCAGCAGCAGGCCUGGCACCCAGUGGUGCUUCCAGGACGUAAUUCUUCUGUGCAGCAAUGAGGAUAAUCCUCAAGUUACGGACCCAGUCCGUGUAAUUGCUACCAUCAUCUUUCAACUUUGCUUUCUCAAGGAACGCAUUAAAAUUCAACGGAACAACAGCACGAGCCAUCUAUCUACAAUUAACAUAAACAAGCAAGAUACUAUCAGGUACUAAGUUGAUGAUAAAUUUAAGUUCAAUUAAUCAUAUUACUUAAGAACUCCCACUUAGAUAGACAUCCCUCUAAUCUUCUAAGUGAUUACGUGAUCCAAAUCAACUAAACCAUGACCGAUCAUCACGUGAGAUGGAGUAGUUUUCAAUGGUGAACAUCGUUAUGUUGAUCAUAUCUACUAUAUGAUUCACGCUCGACCUUUCGGUCUCCGUGUUCCGAGGCCAUAUCUGCAUAUGCUAGGCUCGUCAAGUUUAACCUGAGUAUUCUGCGUGUGCAAAACUGGCUUGCACCCGUUGUAGAUGGACGUAGAGCUUAUCACACCCGAUCAUCACGUGGUGUCUGGGCACGACGAACUUUGGCAACGGUGCAUACUCAGGGAGAACACUUCUUGAUAAUUUAGUGAGAGAUCAUCUUAUAAUGCUACCGUCAAUCAAAGCAAGAUAAGAUGCAUAAAAGAUAAACAUCACAUGCAAUCAAUAUAAGUGAUAUGAUAUGGCCAUCAUCAUCUUGUGCCUGUGAUCUCCAUCUCCGAAGCACCGUCAUGAUCACCAUCGUCACCGGCGCGACACCUUGAUCUCCAUCGUAGCAUCGUUGUCGUCUCGCCAAUCUUAUGCUUUCACGACUAUCACUACCGUUUAGUAAUAAAGUUAAGCAUUACAUCGCGAUUGCAUUGCAUACAAUAAAGCGACAACCAUAUGGCUCCUGCCAGUUGCCGAUAACUUGGUUACAAAACAUGAUCAUCUCAUACAAUAAAAUUCAGCAUCAUGCCUUGACCAUAUCACAUCACAACAUGCCCUGCAAAAACAAGUUAGACGUCCUCUACUUUGUUGUUGCAUGUUUUACGUGGCUGCUACGGGCUUAAGUAAGAACCAAUCUCACCUACGCAUCAAAACCACAACGAUAGUUUGUCAAAUAGACUCCGUUUUAACCUUCGCAAGGACCGGGCGUAGCCAUACUUGGUUCAACUAAAGUUGGAGAGACAGUCGCCCGCAAGCCAUCUCUGUGCAAAGCACGUCGAGGGAACCGGUCUCGCGUAAGCGUACGCGUAAGGUUGGUCUGGGUCGUCUCGUCCAACAAUACCGCCGAACCAAAAUAUGACAUGCUGGUAGGCAGUAUGACUUGUAUCGUCCACAACUCACUUGUGUUCUACUCGUGCAUAUAACAUCAACAUCAAUAACCUAGGCUCUGAUACCACUGUUGGGUUUCGUAGCAAUUUUUCAAAAAUUUUCCUACGCACACGCAAGAUCAUGUGAUGCAUAGCAACGAGGGGAGAGUAUUGUCUACGUACCCAACGCAGACCGACUGCGGAAGCGAUGACACGACGUAGAGGAAGUAGUCAUACGUCUUCUUGAUCCAACCGAUCAAGCACCGAAACUACGGCACCUCCGAGUUCGAGCACACGUUCAGCUCGAUGACGAUCCCCGGACUCCGAUCCAGCAAAGUGUCGGGGAAGAGUUUCGUCAGCACGACGGCGUGGUGACGAUUUUGAUGAACUACAGCAGCAGGGCUUCGCCUAAACUCCGCUACAGUAUUAUCGAGGAAUAUGGUGGCAGGGGGCACCGCACACGGCUAAGGAAUAGAUCACGUGGAUCAACUUGUGUCAACUUGUGUGUUUAGAGGUGCCCCUGCCUCCGUAUAUAAAGGAGGAGAGGAGGGGAGGCUGGCCGGCCAAGGGGGGGAGGCGCAGGAGAGUCCUACUCCCUCUGGGAGUAGGAUUCCCCCUCCAAUCCUAGUCCAACUAGGAUUCCUCGGAGGGGAAAAGAGGAGGAGGGGGCCGGCCACCUCUCCUAGUCCUAAUAGGACUAGGGGAAGGGGGGGCGCGCAGCCCAUCUAGGGCAGCCCCUUCUCUUUUCCACUAAGGCCCACUAUGGCCCAAAUAGCUCCCGGGGGGUUCCGGUAACCCUCCCGGUAUUCCGGUAAAAUCCCAAUUUCACCCGGAACACUUCCGAUAUCCAAAUAUAGGCUUCCAAUAUAUCAAUCUUUACGUCUCGACCAUUUCGAGACUCCUCGUCAUGUCCGUGAUCACAUCCGGGACUCCGAACAACCUUCGGUACAUCAAAAUGCAUAAACUCAUAAUAUAACUGUCAUCGUAACCUUAAGCGUGCGGACCCUACGGGUUCGAGAACAAUGUAGACAUGACCGAGACACGUCUCCGGUCAAUAACCAAUAGCGGGACCUGGAUGCCCAUAUUGGCUCCUACAUAUUCUACGAAGAUCUUUAUCGGUCAGACCGCACAACAACAUACGUUGUUCCCUUUGUCAUCGGUAUGUUACUUGCCCGAGAUUCGAUCGUCGGUAUCCAAUACCUAGUUCAAUCUCGUUACCGGCAAGUCUCUUUACUCGUUCCGUAAUACAUCAUCUCACAACUAACAUAUUAGUUGUAAUGCUUGCAAGGCUUAUGUGAUGUGUAUUACCGAGAGGGCCCAGAGAUACCUCUCCGACAAUCGGAGUGACAAAUCCUAAUCUCGAAAUACGCCAACCCAACAUCGACCAUUGGAGACACCUGUAGUACUCCUUUAUAAUCACCUAGUUACGUUGUGACGUUUGGUAGUACCCAAAGUGUUCCUCCGGCAAACGGGAGUUGCAUAAUCUCAUAGUCAUAGGAACAUGUAUAAGUCAUGAAGAAAGCAAUAGCAACAUACUAAACGAUCGGGUGCUAAGCUAAUGGAAUGGGUCAUGUCAAUCAGAUCAUUCUACUAAUGAUGUGACCUCGUUAAUCAAAUAACAACUCAUUGUUCAUGGUUAGGAAACAUAACCAUCUUUGAUUAACGAGCUAGUCAAGUAGAGGCAUACUAGUGACACUUUGUUUGUCUAUGUAUUCACACAUGUAUUAUGUUUCCGGUAAAUACAAUUCUAGCAUGAAUAAUAAACAUUUAUCAUGAUUAUAAGGAAAUAAAUAAUAACUUUAUUAUUGCCUCUAGGGCAUAUUUCCUUCAGCAGGCUCGGGGGCUCUAGCUGUCAUCGCUUGUCUUCGGAGUUCCGAAGAGCUUGGCGGAGUCGCUGGAUCCUACGGCACCCCCGCCGCUUGAGGAGCUGCUGGAAGAGCGUGCGGCGGCAGGCCUGGUCCCAGCCGCUCCAGAGCUUCUGUCGCUGCCUCUGGGACAGCACUCCAGCCGACGCCCAUCUUCGUCGAAGACCUUGUAGAGCAUCAUGGAAGCGCCAUCGAACUCCAGGUGGAUCACGAGGGCGCUCCUCGUCCUGCAAACCCGGGCGAUCUCGCACCAGCCCCGGGUCAUGAAGACCUUACCUGGAGCGACGACCUCGACAUCAGCAUCGGUCGCAGGAGUCUGGCAAUCGGCAUGGUGCAGCCAGAGCCUGAAAGGCCCCCUCGGCGGAAUCUCGAAGGCGAAGGAAGCAGGAAGGCGAAUUCAAGAUGGAGGAGGCAUGGCGGCGUGGAGCACAAACUCUCGGGAGGAGCCCUCGGCGUGAACUCCAGGAGGGACAACGCGCACCGCCGUGACCCGUCGGCGCCGACGGCGGCGUCGUCCAUGGCACUCGACAUCAGCUCCUGCAGGGCCCUCAAGGUGGGCGUACAAAGGCAGCGGGAACCCUGGCGGCGAUCGCUCGCACAAGGCCUCGACACCUCCUACCGCGUGCCCUCAUCUCGGCGGCAGAGGACCAAUUGCUUCUUCGGCGGAAGCGGGUCAGGACCCUCUCGGGGGGCCUUUCCCUUCUCUUUUGCGGAGAACCGGCGGAUGGGCGCCAUCAGCGUGAGACGGAGCGAUGGUGAAGAUGAAGAAGAGGAGGAAUAGCAGAGAAAGAUUGACUAGAAUGGCUCGCGCCGUUCCGUACUUAUAGCCAAGGGAGGCCAACCGUCGGCUUCCACGAUCGCAGGUAAUCAUGACCGUUUUUUUGCAUGCAAGGACUUGUCAGUUCGCGCAGUUGCUGAGGCGUCGUGGGGGAGCGGAGCCGCCCACGUCCGAUCAACCGCCACGUGGCGCCCAAGGCCGCAGGCUGUUAGGGCCCGCGACGCUUCACACUUGCCCUUUCGCCUCUCUGCUCGGCCAAGCUCGGGCACGCCUUGGGCCCGGGGGCUAUUGUCGGCGUUCUGGGAACGGGGGUCCCCAGACUUGCCUGCCUGCGGCAUGGCUCAAAGGGGGUCCAGCACGGCCCAUCUUCAUUAACACAAGCUCAAGACCCUCGCGAGGGGCCAAGCCUCGCGGGGCGGACGACAAGGAGCUUCCUCAGGCACGGCCUCAUCAGGCUGGCUCACGAGGAGGCAGAGAGUUCAAGGCGGGGUGCCUCGCGAGGUGCCCAUGACGCAAGUCAUGACGACCAAGGGCGCCAGCCGGGCGCCAGCCCGCACAGUGUCCUUCUUUCCUCUUUGGUGCAAGGGGAGCAAGCGCAGGUGAGAGCAUCAAGCAAAGGCAUCCAUUUCGGUGCAACAAGACCAAGACCAGUCCAACGGCAGGAUGAAGGUCACCGUGGAGCCCAAGCCGGCGUCACCACCAGAGCCUUUGACAAGCGAGGACCAACUUUAGUCAGGAUAAGUGUACCAGAUGUUCCCCUUCAAAAUGGCCAAUUGUUGACGCCCUUCCCGCUCAAUAUUUGGGAAGAGGCCCAGGGCCUUUGCCUAUAAAUAGGACUAGCCACCAUAGUAUCUGGGCAGAGAAAGAGAGAGAGAAUCAACCCCUCCAAAGGGACAACACCACCGUAAGAACAGACCCUCAUGAGGCUGUCCUUCCUUGUAGAGGUAAUCCACCACACCACACACUAGAGUAGGGUAUUACACCAUAAUGGUGGCCUGAACCAGUAUAAACCUUGUGUCUCUUGUGAUGUUCUUCUGGUAGUUUAUAUCCCAGCGAUUCGGUGAGGAACAGGUAGGUAGAAGGCGAAACCUCCACGCGCACCCGGGUGUUCGAACCUCAAGGGUCUGCCGGAACCCUAAAUCCGACAGACAUGUUGGCGAUUCUGAUUGACCGUGCCAAGCAGAAGCAGGACGGCCAGAUUGCAGGAGAAGAGCCACACUUUGUGGAUUGGUGGCCUCUCUAUUUUACAAUACACCAAUGACACAAUUUUUUUAUGAAACAUGAUUUGGACAAGGCUCGAAACCUGAAACUCUUGCUUUCAGCGUUUGAGCAAAUGCCGGGUCUCAAAAUAAACUUUCAUAAAAGCGAAUUGUUCUGCUUUGGAGAAGCCGUUGAGGCGGCUGAUUAUACUGACCUAUUUAGUUGUGCAGAUGGCCAAUUCUCGAUUAAAUAUCUGGGAAUACCGAUUCAUUAUCGACCUCUCACCAUUGCGGAGUGGAAGCAUAUAGAGGAGCGUCUAGAGAAACGGUUGAGUAGUUGGAAAGGCAAACUAUUCUCAGUUGGAGGACGGUUGGUUUUGAUUAACUCUGUCCUCACAAAUAUGGUUCUCUAUAUGCUCUCUUUCUUCCAACUCCCAAAAAGGGUCCUACAAAGACUGGAUUAUUUUAGAUCCAAAUUCUUUUGGCAAGAAGACAGUGAAAAGAAAAAAUACAGGCUGGCCAAAUAGAGUGUGGUUUGUAGGCCAAAAGACCAAAGAGGGCUCGGAAUUCAUGACUUGCAGGUCAAAAAUAAGGCCCUACUCCGUAAAUGGUUGUUCAAACUUCUUAAUGAGGAUGGUGUUUGACAAACCAUGCUGCUCAACAAGUAUCUAGGUCAAAAGGCGGUGUCCCAGGCAUUUUGGAAACCUGGCGAUUCACACUUUUGGGCUGGCCUAAUGGCGGUAAAGAAACAUCUCCUUCGCUUUGGGUCUUUCGCGAUGAAUGAUGGGUCGAAGAUUCAUUUUUGGGAAAACAUCUGGCUAAGCAAGGCUAGUCUCCGAGAACAAUAUCCAGGCUUAUACAACAUUGUUCGUGAUAAGAAUAAUACUAUUGCGCAAGUGCUCAGUUCAUUCCCACCGAAUAUUUCAUUCAGGCGGGAUUUGAUUGACCUCUGACGUGUGUCAUGGCAUAAUCUUACACUCUAUGUAUCGUGCGCUCACGCAUUCUGAUGUACCAGUGAGUAAUAAUAAGAAAAUUUGGAAGUCCAAGAUUCCACUAAAAGUGAAAAUUUUCAUGUGGUAUCUUCGUAGGGGUGUUGUGUUAAUCAAAGACAAUCUCGCAUGACGCAACUGGCAAGGGAGUAAGAAGUGUUGUUUUUGUACUUAUGACGAGACAAUCAAACACCUCCUUUUCCAAUGCAAGUUUGCACGUUCUACAUGGUCAGUCAUCCAAAUAGCGUCAAAUUUGUAUCCGCCCACAAGUGUUGCCAUAUUUUUGGUCAUUGGUUGAAGGGUAUUUCAAAUAGGUUAAAAACGCUAAUAAGGGUGAGAGCGUAUACCUUAAUUUGGUCGCUUUGGCUAUGUAGAAAUGAUUUGGUUUUUAAUGGAAAAAAUGCUUCUCCUCUACAAGUUAUUUUCUGGUGUACGCAAUUGCUACGUAUGUGGUCUAUGUUACAACGACCGGAGGACCAAUCAUUGUUCAAGGCGGUGUGUAUGCGAUUGGAUCAGGUGGCUAUGGAGGUUUUUUCCCAACAUGGGUGACAACAUAACCUUCGGAUCGAUCCACCACCUCCAUCGACAUAGGCAUAGUGUUGGUCUAUAGGGCUUUAUUGUUGCCGAUUUAUUGGUUUUUUUAUUAUUUUUUGUCAGACCUUCAUAUUGAGCCGUGUGCAUCUUAGUUAUGCAGAGACCGGGUGUUACUCAUAAUGCUUAGUAUCCGCUUGAUGCUACAUUUUGAGAUAAUAAAAUCGCCCUUUAUCGGAAAAAAUUACUUUUUCGUUUUAUUUAUUAGAAAAACUUUUGACCUAUUUCAUUUUUCGUUGUGUCGGUUAAAGAAACACUCCCCCCGCAAAAAAGGUUAAAGAAACACUAGAAAUAGUAAAAAUUACAUCCAUUGGAGCAAGUUGAAGGUUUGCUUCCCAUUAGAGCAUCUUUAUCAGACCCUGUAUAACACGCGAACCCGCAUAAUUUCGGCGAGUAUACGGGCUCAGCCCAAUUUUCUGGCUAAAACAGAGCCCAUAUACUCGUCCGGCCCGUAAGAAUUUUUAUCGCGGCCCGCAAACCUUACCCCUGAAGCCAUAUAACUACGAGUUUGCGGGGUAGAUACGGGUCGAAACCCUAUCCCCCGCCGCCGCGUUUCCCCGUGAUUCUUCACUCCCUCCGCCGCAUUUCUCGCCGCCGGUGAGCACAGUUUCACCUCCAGCCACCGCGUGGGGCCGUAUGUGGAGCUUCGGUGGGGACGACGACUUCGAGCGCGAGCGUAGUGUCCAUGCGAACGGCGCGAGGAAGCGUGCGGCCAGGAAGUGGGCCAACCAAGGCCUCAAACUGUCGGCAAGGCUCCUCCAUUGCGAGACGGAGGAGUACGCCCGCUGGCAUAGGUGGACGCCCUCCUCGGCCGCGUGGCUCACCUCCGGCGCGGGGGCCCUUUCCCUCCUCUAGUAGUAGUAGAAUGUAGUAUGUAUGAUCUAUGUACUAUGUUGUGAUGAACUACCCAUGAUCAAUGUGGUUGCAAUUUCUUCCGGGAAAGCUUACUAUACAUAUUUAUAUAUGUGGUCUACUCUGCCGCGCAUGAUUUCGCCCCGCAAAACAGAUCUUCCUCAAACUGUAAACGCGUUAUGCGGGUUGGCAUUAUACGGGGUCUGCUUCGAUGCAGUCGCGCCAUCUAUCGCCGGCACUUUUGUCGGUCCGGGUGCGUUCGCUUUUUCUCCUCCCCCUUUCCUCGUGUUUAACGGGAAACUCGGUUGGAGGGACGGGUGGCCUCGAUGCGGCCGCAUUACCUGUCGCCGGCACGGGGUGUGCCGGUCCGGAUUCGUCCGCUCCCCUUUCUCCCCCGUUCCUCAGCCGCGGGUGGGUUGGCGCAGAUCUACCUGCGGAGCGUCUGCGGGUGGUUCUGUCGGUCGAGGGCCGUCGGUUGGUCCAAAGUCGGGGCCUUUGUGUAGGUCUCGGGGUUGUCUGGUUGCAGGGCGGGGCUCUGGCGGCGGGAGGUGUGACGUUUGUGGGCGGAGUGUGCGUCCCAGGUAGGGCGGGCAACCAUGGCCUCGCGGGUGGUGUGGUUGCGGGUGGUUGACGGAUUAGGGUGCGACGGUGGGGUGUGAGCUCCAGGGUACACCACUUGCCCAGUCCUUUGACUGGACGACGGUGGCGGCGGCCGUUGUCGCCGUACCCUUCCUGAAGGCUCUGUCGUGGUGCUCCCACUCAUGUCGUCUUGCUGCGGGUGAAAACCUGAUCUUCGCGAAUCGGGCAGUGGCGGCUAUCCUAGGUCGUACCCUUAUUGAAGGCACUGCUUUGGAGGCCUAGCUUCGUUGUUGUCUUAUUCACCUCUCUAGUAUUGUUUGUGGGGUGGUGUGUCAGUGCCUGACACCUCUGUAUCUUGCCUUGGGUGUGUGCGUUGUUCGGUCUCUCAGAUGUAUUCGGUGAUGUUUGCUUAUAAUAUAAAGUGGGGGAAACCCUUUUUUGGUAUACGGGGUCUAUUAGUAAUGCUCUUAGAAAUGGUAAAAACAAUAACAUAUAUACUGAGCAGAACAUUGCCAAAGUUUGCUGAAUUGACACCAUAUGAGUUAUGAAUGCGAAUAAACCUAUUUAUUGCAUAUCAAAAUUUGGGGUUCUGAAACUUAUGUAAAACGUUUACAACCAAAUACUCAAUCCCAAAGUAGACAAGUAUUAUUUUGUAGGUUAUCAUAAAGCAACAAUUCGCUAUUCCUUCUACCAAAAGUCGGUUGACAAAGUUUUGUCGCAGAAAAUGAAAAAUCCUGACUUUUUUUUGAAAGGACUAUCAAACUAGAGCCUUUUGUGAUUGGCCACAUGUAAAUUUGUAAACAUCCAUCUAUUUUUUGUUUAUGAUCGGGCGCUAUGAACACCACACUUUUGUUUGCGUAAUGUUGCUAUGCAUUUGAAUGAAAUAGACACGACAUGACGGCGGGUUGAUGGUUGGCUUCCGUAUCAAUGUCUACGGACAAAUAACGUGUUCGUUGUAAGAGAUGUCAUUGAAGAUGCCCUAAGUUCUUUUUAUUAUUUGAGGGGAAGGGAUAAUAUGUUUUAAAAUGAUUUACAAGCAGCUUAAACUAAGUGAUGUCUUAUUUUUGUUUAGUGAUUUAAUUUAGCUCAUGAUUUAGCAAAGCAUCUUGGGUUAUACUCCUAGCAUCUUGGAUUAUACUCCUUUUUUCAAAAUAAGUAUCUUAAUUUUAAUAUAACUUAAGACCUUUACUUUGAGAUGGAGGAUCUCAAUUAUCUUAAAAUGCAACCAUGCCAAUUAAUCAUGCUAAGAUGCAUGCCUCACUAAAUUUAAUUCUUUCAACAUUCAACUAUGCCGACUCAUCAUGUGACCAUACAUGAAAAAAUCCCCACCUUAAGAUGCACCAUCCAUGCUACUCAUAUCCAAUAAAAAUUUCGUACUAUAAAAUGACCAAAUAUAAUAAAAUACAGGUACUCUUAGUUUCAAUUCUCAUACUGCCAAUCCAAAACACUAAAAUUUCGUACUGCCAGUUCUUAUAAAUUGUUUACCGGUUCUAGAAAGUGGAACCCCGAUGUGGUGUUAGGCCGACAUGUCACAACUCAUUCGGCAUUCGUUUAGUUGGCGAAGUCGAAAGGAUCAAGACCAUUCCAGGCUUCGAGGAGCCUCAAAACGGAACUUUGCAUGCUCAAUAGUGGAGUGCCUUUUGCUCAUAGAUAAACAAACUUUGCAAAGUUUGUAUACUUCACCGAUCCUCAUCUGGGUUGUGCCAAUGCGUGGCAUCUUUCUAAUUUGGUACUCAUAUAAAGAAGAAAUUCCAGUCCCUUUUUUUUUUACUGAAAAAGCGAGUCAGCUGGCCGUCGGUCUCACGCUCUCAACGCUUCUGGAGGCUUCCGGCGGCGGGCGGGUGGAGACCCCACCAGUCCACGAGCUUCUUUUCUGGUGAGUUCUGCCCGCGCAACUUGUUCGCACGCCACAGCCCACAGUACUACAGAAAGAGAGUUACAGGCACGACACCGGCCCACCUCGUCCGCUCGUCAACGUUCCUUCGUACGCCACCUUACGCCCCUCCUGCUCUCCGCCUCGCCUUCGCGCGCCUCCGGUCAGCUGCCGACAGCGUCCCGACGACAAACUCGACAGCGACCGUACGUAAAAGGAGGUUGUGGUACGGUACCGGCGCCAUGGCCGACCACCGGCAACUUAGCGCCGCCGACGUCGACCUCUACGGCGUCCUGGGGCUCAAGAAGGAGUGCUCCGACGCCGACCUCAGGCUCGCCUACCGGAGGCUCGCCAUGGUGAGUCUGAGGCCGACCGAUGGGCCGCAUAUCUUGCUUGGAGUUUAUGUACCUGUGACUGUGAGUCUGUCCUUAUCAUUCUCUUCGAUCUUGUUUGUGGCAGACAUGGCAUCCGGACCGGUGCUCGGCGUCCGGCACCUCGGCGCGCGUCCAGGAGGCCAAGGAGCGCUUCCAGGAGAUCCAGAGCGCAUAUUCGUCGCAGGUGUCGGGGAUGGGCGACUUCUUCGGGGAGAUGGCCGAGAUGAUGAGCCAGGCCACGCCAACCGUAAGCAAGCUAGAUCUGCAAUUGUUGCGCCUUACCACAUUCUGUGGUUUGGGUGGAUAUUAUUGAUGACGUGAUGUCUUUGCAGGAUAGCUUCGAGGAGCUGCAGCAGCUGUUCGUGGACAUGUUCCAGGCCGACCUCCUCGCCGGCGGGUUCGCGUGCGGGUUGGGCGGUGCGCCUCCUAUGGGCCGCCGGGUGCAGGCCCCGAGUCCAUCCUGUACCUCUGGACCUACGUUUGCGCAGGCACGGCCAUCAUGUACCAGCCGUGCCAACAAGCGGUGUUCAUCGGCGAUGGGAUCGCCAGGGGCCUGUCGUCCAGGGUC
rnacentral:lncRNA from 1 species